AAAGUACUCCCUCCAUCCUAAAAUUCUUGUCUUAGAUUUGUAUAGAUACGGAUGUAUCAAGUCACAUUUUAGUAUUAGAUACACCGUAUUCAAAACAAUCCUAAGACAAGAAAUUUGGGACAGAGGGAGUAGUUG
rfam:Triticum urartu cultivar G1812 contig365816, whole genome shotgun sequence.